rnacentral:ncRNA from 2 species
GUUUCCCCGGCUGGAGAGAGGCCUGCCUUGGCUUGGCAGGCCCACCGAAGGAGCAAGCCCCGCAACGCACCGCCACCAGGCAGCGCGCACGGCGUGGUGAAUCUCUCAGGUAAAGCGGACAGCGGGCACAGG